AUGUGGAAGACGGAUAGAGGGGCGAGGGAGGGGGCAAGCAUAGAGGAUUCUGGCGGUGGUGCUGCUCAGAACGGUGACAAAAGAGGAGGCUACUUUGGUUCUGACCUGCAGCGGCCGGUGUGGCAAGAGAUGGGGUUGGCUGCUAAAGCGGUGAAACAGGGAUUGUUGAAGAACCAACAGCGUGGAUGUUCAGGUAUGGAUUUCUUCAGGACCUUCCAGAUUCAGGAAAAAUAUAUGCAUGCAGAGAACCAUCAUAUUCAGGCCAAUAUGCAACUUGGUGGUGGAGGACGACGCGAGUCGACGAGAUGCACAAUUCCUAUGCUUCAGGCAAUUUCUGAAAACCUGAAAUUAUCGAACAUGCAGAUAAACCAUAUCAACAGUGACCAUUUCAUGCCUGUUGAUAUUUAUCUUCGUCUCCUGGUGUGCAAUUUUUUCAGAUGGACUGCAACGAAUUAG
rnacentral:rRNA from 1 species